GAUGAAGACGUAGCGAAAUGCGAUAAGUAAUGUGAAUUGCAGAAUUCAGUGAAUCAUCGAGUCUUUGAACGCACAUUGCGCCCCCUGGUAUUCCGGGGGGCAUGCCUGUCCGAGCGUCAUUGCUGCCCUCAAGCACGGCUUGUGUGUUGGGCCCCGCCCCCCGGCUCCCGGGGGGCGGGCCCGAAAGGCAGCGGCGGCACCGCGUCCGGUCCUCGAGCGUAUGGGGCUUCGUCACCCGCUCCGUAGGCCCGGCCGGCGCCCGCCGGCGACCCCCCUCAAUCUUUUCAGGUUGACCUCGGAUCAGGUAGGGAUACCCGCUGAACUUAAGCAUAUCAAUAAGCGGAGGA
rnacentral:misc_RNA from 1 species